ACCUACGGGGGGCAGCAGUAGGGAAUCUUCCACAAUGGACGAAAGUCUGAUGGAGCAACGCCGCGUGAGUGAAGAAGGGUUUCGGCUCGUAAAGCUCUGUUGGUAGUAAAGAAAGAUAGAGGUAGUAACUGGCCUUUAUUUGACGGUAAUUACUUAGAAAGUCACGGCUAACUACGUGCCAGCAGCCGCGGUAAUACGUAGGUGGCAAGCGUUGUCCGGAUUUAUUGGGCGUAAAGCGAGUGCAGGCGGUUCAAUAAAGUUUAUUUGAAAACCUUCCGGUCAAACGGAGAAUUUCAUCACAAAAU
rnacentral:rRNA from 1 species